rnacentral:rRNA from 1 species
CAAUAGCGUAUAUUAAAGUUGUUGCAGUUAAAAAGCUCGUAGUUGGAUUUCUGAUGAGAGUACGGGUCGGCCUUAACGGGUUGCACUGUUGUUACGUCUCGUCGUUUCGAGGUGAAUGGGUUCGCUAUUAGGUUAGUGGGCUCGGGAACCUUGUCGUUUACUGUGAAAAAAUUAGAGUGUUCAAAGCAGGCCUUUGCUGUGAAUACAUUAGCAUGGAAUAAUAAGAUAGGACUGUAGUGCUAUUUUGUUGGUUUGCGUACUAUGGUAAUGAUUAAUAGGGAUAGUUGGGGGUAUUCAUAUUCAAUUGUCAGAGGUGAAAUUCUUGGAUUUAUGGAAGAUGAACUACUGCGAAAGCAUUUACCAAGGAUGUUUUCAUUAA